rnacentral:lncRNA from 1 species
GGGAGGGGGCGGGGCUGCAUAGGGGACGGGAGGGGUGGGUGGGGGCACGGGAAGCCCAGGGGCAGGGGAGGGGAGGGAGGGGGCGGGGUGAUGGGGGGUGCUGGUGGGACCACCGGCCGCAGGAGUGGGGCUGGGGCGCGAGGCGGCAGGUGCAGGGCAGUAGGAGGACGGAGGAGCGCGGGGCGAGGCCAGGCCCGGGUGGCGGCCGUGCCACGUGACCUCUUGUCCUGGAGUUGCGGCCCCGUGAGUGGCGCAGGGGUGCGGGCUGCAGGACAGGGUGAAGGCCAGCGCGCUUGGCGGGGGUGUCCCGGCUGUCGGCCUGCGCGCAGGAAGGGGCCCGAGCCGCAGCCCCGCUGCUGGGCAGUCCGGGCAGCUGCCCCCGCGGACGGAGGCCACGAAGCAGGCGUGGAAAGGCGCCCAGAAGGUGGAGGGCGGGCCUCGCUCCUGCCCCAGGAGAGCAGCACCUUGGGGCCUCGUGGGGCCUCGGGCGGCCCAGGGUGGCACGGGGACAGCCUGGCCCGUCCAAAGUGGGGCUGAGGGACACCUCUCGGUGGGGACGCCCUUCUCCAUGUACACACGUGUAAUCCCCAUAAAGUACAAAAUUCAAGAGAAGAGGGAUUACAGAGCUUCUGCCAAAGGCUUUCCUGGGACACCACCCAGGGCGUGUCAUUCCUUGCCGGCCACGUCCAGAUCUGGCCACUCUCGCCCAGCAGGAGGCUUCCGUGGACUUUCCGUGGCCGGGACAGGAGGUCUGCAGGCCUCAGGACCACCCCUAAGUCAGCCGCAGCCUGGGCAGGUGGUCCUUCCGUCUGCCCCCACCCCCACCCCGUUGCCCAGAGGACUCCCUCCUUCCCGGGGGGGGGGGGGGGGGGGGGCUGGGCCUCCUCCCCCAGCUCUUGUCUUUUCUUGGUUCCUCGCCUGUUUGGGUGAAGCCGGGCAUACACACUGGGAGGUCAUUUAUUUAAUGAUAAUGGAAACCGGAAAAUGUCUUGGUUUCACCUUCACACUUGAUUUGUAGUUUGCCUAAGCAUAGAACUCCAGGUUAGGGAGGCCCGGGGCGGGGAGGGGGGGGGGGGUGGCGGGGGGCUCAGCAGUUGAGCGCCUGCCUUCCCCUGGAGACCUAGGAUCGAGUUCUGCGUCGAGCUCCCGGCGUGGAGCCUGCUUCUCCCUCUGCCUGUGUCUCUGCCUCUCUCUGUGUCUCUCUCUCUGUCACUCAUGAGUAAAUAAGUCUUUAAAAAAACAAUUAGGGAUCCCUGGGUGGCGCAGCGGUUUGGCGCCUGCCUUUGGCCCAGGGCGCGAUCCUGGAGACCCGGGAUCGAAUCCCACAUCGGGCUCCUGGUGCAUGGAGCCUGCUUCUCCCUCUGCCUGUGUCUCUGCCUCUCUCUCUCUCUGUGUGACUAUCAUAAAAUAAAUAAAAAUUAAAAAAAAAAAAACAAUUAAAAAGAACUCUAGGUUAGAGACCUUCGGACUGUGCAGGCCUGUCUCCGGCCCAGGAGUGCCCGUAAGAAAUUCACAGGCAUUUGAACGUAUGAUCCUUUACCACAGUGGAGGCUGCUCCUCCCUACAAAUAUUUAGGAUCCUCUGUGGAAAUUUCACAAUGUGCUGCGUCCUUGUGCCUGGACGUUCUCUCAUUAUUUUGGGAACUCAAAGCUCCCUCAGUCUGGAAACUCCUGUGCUUCAGACCUGGGAACUUCCUUCAUAGGUUAUUUCACUAAUCAUUUCUUUCCACCAAUGACUCGUCCCCCCCUUCGCUGUUGCCUCUGUCUAAAAUUCUUGUUUUAAGAUGUCAGAGGUUGGGCAGCCGGGAGGGGGGGCUCAGUGGUUUAGCGCCGCCUUCGGCCCGGGGCGUGAUCCUGGAGACCGGGGAUCGGGUCCCACAUCAGGCUCCCUGCAUGGAGCCUGUUUCUCCCUCUGCCUGUGCUUCUGUGCCUCUCUGUGUCUCCCUGUGUCUCAUGAAUAAAUAGAUAAAAUCUUAAAAAGAAAAAAAAAAAAAAAAGAUGGCCGAGGUUUGAGACUGAAGCUUGUGUGUUCAACUUGUCUCCUGUUUUCCAUCCUGGCCUUUCGCUCUGCCUUCUGGAGGAUUUCUCCCCAGGGAGCUUGUUCCGCUGCCACUGUGCUGAAUUUCCAAGAGCUCUUCGUCCACCCACGUCUCUUUUCAGAGAAGAGAAACGUUCUGUUCCUGCUUCAAGGGAGCAGUGUCUGAGGAUGUGCAUGCGGAAGUGUUCUCCUGCUUGGGGGGUUUGCCCCAGAUGGUCUCUUCCCUGUUUCUUCUGUUUCCAUCUUCCAGGAACUUUUCGUGCCGGCAGGUACUGUUUGUUUGCUCAUGAGGAGGAACAGGCCAGAGGGGUAUUUGGAAAUACCAGGUUUGUAAGCGGGACUCAUCUAAUGAGAGCUUGACACUGGGGAGUUUGGGGGCGGGGGGGGGCUGUUAACUGGGCAACCUCCCCCCUGAGAUCCCCUGAGUCCUCCUGCUGGGCUGCCCAGGCUCCCCAUUAAGAGUCUUCCAGUGUCCUUCCUGCAGCAUACAGGUCUACUUGCCAGUAUUUUUGAAACCAAAGAGUGGAUAGGAUGAGGGGGUGGUCAGCAUUCUGGGUACCAGAGACUCACCCCCAACUGUCUCUCCUUCUGGAAUCCCUCUGUGCAAAAACAGGCAUCCAGCCCGCUGCCAGGAUGGCCCCAGGGCCACUGCCUGGAUUCUAACAGCUUCUCUCUCUCUCUCUCUCUUUUUUUUUUAAAAGAUUUAUUUAUUUAUUCAUGAGAGACAGAGAGAGAGAGAGACAGAGACCCAGGCAGAGGGAGAAGCAGGCUCCAGGCAGGGAGCCCGAUGUGGGACUCGAUCCCAGGACCCCGGGGUCACGCCCUGAGCCAAAGGUAGACACUCAACCGCUGAGCCACCCAGGGGCCCCAAUCUAACGGCUUCUUAAACAUGAGAAGACCUAUUCAGAUAAUUGGAGGUGCUGAGGACUCAUCCCAGAAUAAGAGACAAAUCCCAGCCGCCACGGAAUUCAGAAAGUGGACAUAGGAAUAUAUGUACAGGGAUCCCUGGGUGGCGCAGCGGUUUAGCGCUGUCUUUGGCCCAGGGCGCGAUCCUGGAGACCCGGGAUCGAAUCCCACAUCGGGCUCCCGGUGCAUGGAGCCUGCUCCUCCCUCUGCCUGUGUCUCUGCCUCUCUCUCUCUCUCUCUCUGUGUGACUAUCAUAAAUAAAUAAAAAAUUUAA